rnacentral:rRNA from 1 species
UUGCCAGUAAACCUUAUACAACUUUCAACAACGGAUCUCUUGGCUCUCGCAUCGAUGAAGAACGCAGCGAAAUGCGAUAAGUAAUGUGAAUUGCAGAAUUCAGUGAAUCAUCGAAUCUUUGAACGCACCUUGCGCUCCUUGGUAUUCCGAGGAGCAUGCCUGUUUGAGUGUCAUGAAAUUCUCAACCUUUUCAGCUUUUUGUUGAAUAGGCUUGGAUUUUGGGAGUUGUUGCAGGCUGC